rnacentral:tRNA from 1 species
CGCCGCGACCGGCGGGCCGGGCGACGCUCCCCCGCGGCGUCGGCCGCAGGCGCGGCGUCGGCCGCGGGUUCGGCGUCCGACGCGUCGC